CCCUUAGAUGUUCUGGGCCGCACGCGCGCUACACUGAAGGCAUCAGCGUGUCCUUCCCUCCCCGAGAGGGGCGGGUAACCCGCUGAACCGCUUUCGUGGUAGGGAUCGGGGCUUGCAAUUAUUCCCCGUGAACCAGGAAUUCCCAGUAAGCGCGAGUCAUAAGCUCGCGUUGAUUACGUCCCUGCCCUUUGUACACACCGCCCGUCGCUACUACCGAUUGGAUGGUCCGGUGAAGCCUCGGGAUUGUGGUUCUUGCCGCUUUAUUGUGGCGUGACCGCGAGAACUUGUCUAAACCUUAUCAUCUAGAGGAAGGUGAAGUCGUAACA
rnacentral:rRNA from 1 species